rnacentral:rRNA from 1 species
UACGUAGGGUGCGAGCGUUGUCCGGAAUUACUGGGCGUAAAGAGCUUGUAGGUGGUUUGUCGCGUUGUUCGUGAAAUCUCACGGCUCAACUGUGAGCGUGCGGGCGAUACGGGCAGACUAGAGUACUGCAGGGGAGACUGGAAUUCCUGGUGUAGCGGUGAAAUGCGCAGAUAUCAGGAGGAACACCGGUGGCGAAGGCGGUUCUCUGGGCAUUACCUGACGCUGAGGAGCGAAAGUGUGGGGAGCGAACAGG